CCGUCGAUGUGUACCCGCCUUCGUGGCCCUUCUUCCUCACUGCCAUGCCUUCAGCACCAUCCACCUACCCCCGCACUGAGAUUGGCCUGUGGGGGAAGGUCGCUGGGGCCGCAGCCUUUCCAGAGUCUCCCAGGGGAGGUGAGGCGUCAAGAGACUUCCUCCCUGACCGAUGGGGGAUUCUCCUGGCAAGUCUGCUUGACUUUCCGCUUUAGGAAGUUACCUGGACGCCAGCACUUGCCAGGAGCAAGGGGCCCUGUUAGUCUCGGGAGGAAGCUGACUCAGAAAGGACAUGGAAUGUGUCCACAGUCACACCUCUGGCCAGUGGAGCCAUCAGGACACCCGUGCCCGAGCCAUGCAUGACGCUGCUUUGCUAAGGGGACCUCACAUCCAGCACAGAGGAUCAGGAGACGGCAGCACUGGAGCCAGCCAUUCGGGGGUCGGGAGGUGGCCGAGGAACCCACAGAGUCCAGGCCCAGCUCUGCCACUGACCCUGAGGGGUCCCGUAGCCCAGCGUCCUGCUGCCCAAUAGGGGUAUGCCAGCCUCUGCAACAGGGGUGACCAAGGCUGAGCACUCGUCAGCUCUGAAAUCACCUUGGGCUCCAUGGGACUGGGGUGCAGACCCCGAAAGCUUGGGGUGCCCUGGGGACACACAAGGUCCAGAACGUGCUCUUCAGAGAGGCUCUGGGUCCCCUUCUUGAAGCGAUGGGAGUUGUCUGGACCCUCUGGGGCCUCCCCCAUGGCGGACUGGACCAGGCAGAGGCCGGAUGAGCUCCAUGCCCAGGUCACAGGUGGCAGGUGGGGAGCCCAGCUGGGCCGGGCCGGCACCUUCUCCAAACCCACAGGUUGUGCUGCAGCCCUCGUGCGGGAGUCCCACCUGUGUGCCCAGGUCACUUGGGAGCCGGGAGCCUUCUGAAAUGCAGCUGUGGAGAUGCAGGAGCCAUGGGAAAUGAAGUGUUUCCAGACCUCAAGCUUCAGACCCACUGAUGAUAGGGUUCUCCAGAGAGACAGACGAACAGAAUACAUAGAAAGAUUUCUUAUGAGGAACCAGCUCACAUGAUCAUGAAGGCUGGGAAACCCCACGUCUACUGUGUGCAAGCUACAGACCCAGAAAGCCUAUAUGCUGGUGGAACCCAGUCCAAGCCUGGAGGCCUGAGACCCUGGGAAGCUGGUGGUGUAAGUCCCAGUCCAGGGGCCGGAAAUGAUGAGGAGGGCUGUCCCAGCGCAAGCAGGUGGGCAGGAAGAGAAAAGGCAGAUUCCUCCCUAAUGCAUCUUUUGUUCUAUUCCAGCCCCUCAGUGAACUGGGUGAUGCGUACCCACACUGGGAAGAGCGUCUGUUUUACGGGAGCCACCAAUUCGAAUGCUGACCUCAUCCAGAAACACCCGCC